AAUUUUGUCUUGACCUACAACAUAUCUAAUGUCAUAAAUUCCUUAACAUUAAAAACAUGAAACACCUUUUAAAUGUAGGAUUGUCUCACAGUUAGAAUUCUAGGACCCUGGAGAGCCUAGUUCUCUGGACUGGAAGUAUUUGGAGAGCAGCUGCUCUCAUAGGGUAAGGAUGGAUGCAUGCAGGUCCUCCCUACACCCUCACAGAUGUGCUGAAGAAAUACAGACUGUAUCGGUAACUAUUGAAUGCAUAGAAGAUGACAUUCCUAAACUGUCCCUUGAGUUUUCACCUGCUUUCCGUAGCUAUUGCACCCCACAUGGGGGAACACAUGGGGCUGCCAGGCUGUGUCCUUCAUUGGGCAGAUGGUAAGAUAAGCUCAGGGUGCUGAGAGACUCACAGAGCUUCCCAGGUAACUCUUCAGGAUCAUUUUCAGGAAAUAAAAAGUUGCAUGAAAAUAUCUUUUUUUUAAAAAAAGUUAUUUAUUUUAUGUACAUACACUGUAGCUAUCUUCAGACACCCCAGAAGAGGGCAUCAGAUCUCAUUACGGAUGGUUGUAAGCCACCAUGUGGUCCCUGGGAUUUGAACUCGGGACCUCUAGAAGAGCAGUCAGUGCUCUUAACUGCUGAGCCAUCUCUCCAGGCCCCAAAAUAGCUAUUUGUUUCUAACUUGCUUGUAAUUGAAUCUCGCUAACUAAUAAUAUGUUCUCUCUUCACUACUACUGUGAAAACACAGCACCCUACUCUUCGGUCGCUCCCUCUCUUUGCCCUCCUUCCUUCUUUCCUUUCUUCUUGAAGACAAGGAAGAUGACAUAGCCCAGGCUGAGCUCAGCUGGAGUCUCCUGCUUCAUCUUCUCUGGUGCUGAGUUCAGGUGUGUGAGCUACCACUCCUGUUCUCAGUGGUUCCGUUUCUUUCCUACAAUCUUCAGGUAUUCUUCACCUUCCUCUAUAGUUCUUCCCAUAGUCACAUUCCUAAACCAUGUGAUGGGGUUUAACCUGAGGCAUGCGGAAGACACCUUGCCAAUAAACACCCAACCAAAUAAGGAUUAUGGUAGGAUAUCUGAGAUUUAUCUGAGAGAGUGGCAGAAUAUUACUGCUUUUAUGAUGAACUUAAUAUAGGUUAUCAUAUUGCCAACAAUCAACUAAAAGUUACCACUAAAUCCUUCUAGGCUAGAAAACACACUGUUGAUAAAAUAAUUGCAAAGUUUUCUUGCAAAAAAAAAAAUCCCUCCUCCUUAUGUUUAAUAUGUAAGUCAGUUUUAAGUUGGAAUACAUUUUAGAAUGUUAUUAUCACAGUCAUGUAAUUAAUUAUAUAGCUAUGAUAUAUAAUCACAUAUAUGAUUAUUCUUUAUUAAAAUUUAUAGAGGGACAACAUAAGACUAUUCAAGCAGAUUGAGGGCAAUGUAGCCCAGAACAUCUCAAUGUUAGGUAGGCUACCAUGACUUUAUAAUAGAGCUGUAUUACAGGGAGCACUAUAAAUACAAGUGUUUUAAGGACAAGUUAAAAAAUGUGACAAUAAGACCUAAUUUGGUUGUCUCAGCCUGGAGCUCAGUUCUUUUGCAUAGUGGGCUAAUCUUGUCCAGUGGGGCACAGGGAUCAUGCCUGCCAGGUAAGCUGUCUAGUACGAUCGCUUCUUUUUAAAGAGCCUUCAUGUUUACUGUGGUGGUCUAGGAUUUUGAAUUAGAAAUGUCCUGUCAUCAGAAAGAUAGAGCCAAGUCAGGGGUGGAAGAUUACUACCUUCUAGAUACUGCUAUCAGUGUAAGCCUGACACUUUAUAUUAUCAUAAUCUCACUAGGACUUACCUGCCACUUAGCAAUUAAGUCCAUUUACUGAAGCCCUGAUGGACUCAUAUUUAUUUAUAAAAGUACUUUGGGUUACACAGGGAACCUGCACUAACCCUACUCUUGACACCAAAGAACUCUCAGAUAAGGACUAAGUUUUUGGUCCAGUUUUCACAGUUUUCUGCUCUUCCACCCUUCAUCUAACUUCAGUGGCACCAAGCUUUAAAUUACUGAAUAUAAUAAGUUCACAAACCAUGCCAUUCUAUUUAAUCCCACAAACACGAGAAGCUGUGCUGUAGCAUGUUUAUCUUGCUGCCUAUAUUACUAGCUUAUGUCAUGGUGAUUUCUUAGUUUAAAAGGAAGCUGAUAGAUAUACAGACGCAUCACAGUUUUCUCCAUAGCUUCCUAAAGAAAUCACAUUUCCGAACUAAUUAAGAUCUAUGUAUAAAAAAAAAGGAUCUAUGUAUCAAAAAUGGCAAACACAGCUUUAAUGGAUUUAUCGACCUCAUUUUCUAAAAUGUUACCAAAGCAAAGUGAUACAUUAGAAGUGCCAACUAAAAGGCAGUCCCCCACCCCACCCCCACAGGUCAAACCAUAAACAUAAAUCACACCAAGGGUAGAGUGGUAAAAGGCAGAGAAAAUUUACAUUUACAGCACAGUUGAGAGUAUUAAAAUAAUAAUGUGCUAUAUUUUCUCUCUUCUUAUGAUUCUGAUGUUAAGUAACAGGUAAGAGUGUCUUAAUACUUUUAACAUCUCAUCGUAUUUUAAUAGUUCACUAAAAUAAGAUUGUGCUUGAAAGAACACGUACAAGAGGUAAUUUACUUAUGGGUGAGGAACACCAUUACUGUCUAGGCAAUGUGGACCAGGGCUAAGUCUCGUGUUCGGUUGCAAGUAUGCUCCCUGGGUGGCAAGAUGCACUUUUAUGAUUAUUUAAAUACCUGCCUGCAUGAGAGCCCUCCAUACAGCUGUCUUUUCCAGUAUGUAGGAUCAAGCACUGGACCCCAUGGAGAAGGGGUCAUGGGGUCAGGCCAGCUCAAGUGAAGGACUCACAUGUACUUGAGGGCUCUCAUUUUGAGUGCUGGGGAAGGCCACUGUAUUGUGUGAUGGGGCCACUCCAACAUCACUUUCCUGAGUCUCUGGCAGUGUACUGUGGUAGAUGAUGUCAUUUUGAUGACACAUUUGCCUAAUGGCUCUUUGUUUAGGAUGGGAGGCAUUGCAAACUCCACCUAUUGUCCACAAAUACCAAGGAAGGAGCCUGUUCUCAGGAAAUAUAAGUACUUGUCUGGGAACAGCAUGACCUGUGUGUGUAUUCCACAGACCAAGGGGCAGCUCAAUAAUGAACAACCAAAGGGAAGGGGAGAAGCCAUAUUCUGGCAGCCACAUUUGCCUACCUGGAUCUGUUAUAGAUUGUAAUUUGGGGUGUGCUACUGAAAAACAUUUGCAUCUCCCUUAGGCUCUUUUCUGACCCGUGGGUACUUCCGAUUGCUACUUUGCCAGGGAGCACCAGGUGGUUUAUUAUGGCUUCUAAUUUCUGGAAAGAAAAGUCACUGGUGUGAGCUUCUCUUGGAGAAAUUUCAGAGAACGUCUGUUUUAAAGAUGCUCCGCCUUCGGAGUCGUCAGACAGAUGAGCCCUUGACAUGUUUAUGAUCAUACUCUUGAGUGGUAUCACGAAGAAGUGUGGACAAGUUGAACUUCUUAAAUUGUUAUUUAUAGUAACCAAGGUUCAAGGCAAAGAGGAAAAUAAAAACUUUGGGCACCUUCGGUGGUGAUUCAUUUCUGCUCCAGAGCAAGGGACAGGCAGUGAGGAAGAGCACCAGGGGAGGGGGCUCUUCAUCCAUUAUUCCAGUUUGGACCCUCUCUUCUGCUUCAGCUACAUUUUGGAGUGUGCUCAAAAAAAAAAAAUCUCCCUAUGACUUGAUAUUGAAAAGGUGAACUCUUAGACUAAACCUGGCCUGAGGAAAACCGAGUAAUAAGAUCAGCCUCUCACUUCCUCAAUCAAGCUUUCUUAGACUGGCUGGAGCCUUAGGUUGUAAGAGCCCUAAGUGAGCAGCACCCACUUUCCUUAGAAAGCUCUUCAUGCUGCCUUGCUACCUCGCAGGAGGAGAUGUGAUUGGCAUCUGUUGGUAUCUAGAUAUAAUCUUUCUUAGGGGGGCAGAGACAGGCAAGAUUAAGUGCCUUUUAGUGCAGGGAUUAUUGCAAUGUUGAAUUGGAUUUAGCCAGUGUGUUAAGAACUCAGAUGGCAAUGGCCUGAUACUAACUGUUGCAAAAUUUCCUAACGUAGUUUUUCUCUAUUUAAGUUUGCCAUGUUCAAGAUCUGAACAUGUCUAUACUUUUAGGUAUGGGAGCAGGGGCAUGGCAUUCACUGAAAAUUUGAUUACCAAAACAAGCCACCGAAAUAGUCAUCCUAAGACUAGUUAGAGAUAAAACUUGUAGAGGCAAAAACUUUAUUAAAUAAACUACUUGACUAAGUAACUGAAAAAGUAUUUUUCUUAGUUUUAAUGUUAAAACUUAUUGCCAGGAUCUAUACAUUAGAAAUACACUUUCUUUAGCCAUGAUGGCUAUUUCUUGAAUAGGCCAUGUAGUAAAUGAAAAUUAUAUGAGAUUCAUCAUUCUAAUAAGGAUGGUCUUUGGUGAAUGACAGAGAAACUAUUAAUAACCAUAACAGAACAAUCAAGACCAGGGUACCCCAGGAAACUCUCAGGUGCUGUUACCCCACAUAGCCUCAUUGGUCACUAUUAAAAACCAUUGUCCAUUGGGAAAUAUGGGUUGGAACAAGGCUAGUACCAUCCAUACAGAACAUGCAGGGAGGGAUGAAGCAGUAAGGGUUUUUAGGAAUAACUUUCCCACUCCCUGUUAGAAACCUCUUCCAUGGCCCAACAUUAGGAAUACUUAAGUUGUUCCUUUUGUGCUUGCAAAGAAAGUUCCUUCCUUAGUGAGGUUCAUCAGAAAAGGCCACAAUAGCAUGCUUAUCCAAGGGCCAAGGUGGGCCUGUACACAGAAGCCAAGAAACUACCAGCAUUGUAGUUAUUUUUGCUGUACCACUGCACACAUUCAAGUCCCAAUGUUAUUAUUUAUUGUGUUCCACAAGGCAGUCUUGCUCAGAAACUGUUUCUCUAUGUAUCUCACCUUAAUUUUCUAUUUAGACAUGAGUUCUUGUGAAUUUCCUCUCUUGAGUGCCUAGCAGAGUUUUACACACAUGUUGAGUGUUUCGUAUACUCUUUUUGAUUGAUGUGGAUCCUUUGGGGGCCAUCUCUGGGCAUUGUGAUUUCAAAUGAAAGGCACUGCCCCACCGCCCCACCGCCUGUGGGUAGAGGCUUUUCUUAUUCUCUUUACUUUUUCUGAUGCCUCCUCACCUUAGAACAUCUCAUGAAGAUCAGAGGUGGUGCAGGCUUCCUCUCAGAUUACCCAUGUGCCACGCCCCACUUCAUGGCUCUCUACUAGCCUAUGGCUGCCUUUCUUUGUUUAAAAUCACAGUUUCCCCAAGGAAUACAUCUUUAUUAAGAUGCCCUGUGCACGUACAUUAAACUGUCAACUUAAUCUAAUUAGGAGUCAAAUGAGGCACGGCAGAAUUUACAUCAUUUGAUAAAUUUCCAUCAUUUACAGGGGGGAACAGUGACUUGAAUCCAAAUAGUUCUUUACAAUUUUACAGAGCCCAAACAUGCUGCAGCUCUGUAGAGCCCAGGCCUGUAGGUGGAGGGAGGGGCGUCUUUCUCUUUGGAGACUGCAACCCAGUUGGAGUGUGAAAACAAAAAUCUUGGUAUGUCCUGGCAGGGCUGUAAGGGAGGGAGGAUUACUAGGAUCUGCACCAAAGCAGGGAAACGUCAAAGUUUACAGAUGAGAGUAGGAUUCGAUUCUGAACUUUCCCCAGUCUUACCCAUUCUGUGUUUUCUCUCAGGAAGCAUCUUCCAGGCAGAAGACUCAGUAGAUCUGAACUUAAAGCUCAUGGACAUGAUUCAAAGGAAUUGGCACCGAAGAAGGGUUUUGCAGUGAGAAAUCGUAAAUCUGGACUUUUACUUGGGCUUGAUCUGCUUCCUGACCACUGUGCUGAAAAUCCUGUUUGAAGGGUUGAACUCCUGUUGAGAAACUGAGGGCACGAAUGUCUUAGGCACUCUCAGACAGAAGACGCUGGAAACAAUACAAACAUGGCCUCUGUCCUGAAUUAUCCAGCUUUGCAUUGUCUGGAAAUCACACAAAGAUGACCAACAAAGAUUUGCUAGACCAGGGCAUACAGUUCUUUUCUGGUGUCUUGCCACAGUCCUGAGAGCAAAGUAAGUAUUCAAUAAAUACUUGACUGUUGAAGUAGAAAUAUAUUAAGGGAUGGGUUGAUAUUUUUGUGGUUUUUUUUUUCUCCCAAUUUAAUGAGCACCAGUAAUCCAAAUGUAUACCGUUGAUCAUUCAGUUAUAACUGCCCACUGUGCUCUGACUUUACUGUAGCAGAUGCUUGAAGAACACAACCCUCUAAAGAUAGUUCAGUCAUUUAUCCAGAGAAGGCAGAACAAAACCCAGGAAAUUGGAUGUAACUGAUUAUUUACAAGUGUGUGCACGUGCGGCCUCAUUCUGAUGAAAAUGAUUUCUCAAUGGCCUGUUGUCCUAACCACCAAAAUGACUUCCAUGAAUUGUUUGUCACAGAGGGUAGGGGACAGGUGUAAUGUUUGCUUUUCCCUUGACCAGCUGGGUGCAUAAUUCUCAGCCCCUGAACUCAUCAAAAGAGCAAGCUGCUUCAAGAUCCCCUGAGACCACACAGGGCCGAGAACUUCCCAUGCAUGAUGCAUGGGAUGAAGUUAGAACCCAUCUAACUGGUGGAGGGGGUGGAAGAAAAGGAAGCCAGCAGACUGCAAAGGAAGCGUUGGGGACCAAGGCCUUUCAAAUACGCUUGAUUUCUCUACUGUUUCUCCAGUUAUUAUUCAGUGUCAUGGGGUUUUUUUGUUUGUUUGUUUUUUGGUUUUUAUAGCCUGUAUAGGGCUAUACAGAGACAGGGUUUCUCUGUAUAGCCCUGGCUGUCCUGGAACUCUCUUUGUAGACCAGGCUGGCCUAGAACUCAGAAAUCCGACUGCCUCUGCCUCCCGAGUGCUGGGAUUAAAGGCGUGCGCCACCACGCCCAGUGUCAUGUUUUAUACACCCGUGUCAUUUAGUUUCCAUAGAGGAGAGGAAGGGACACAACAAAAAGCCCAAAUAAUUCCAAAGGUCUUCAAAUAGGGAGCCAGCACACGCACAGACAAGCAUUAAAGACAGCAGAAGAUUCAGGCAGCAGCGAUUGGCUCCUGCUUCUCCUUGCUUUGGGGACGAAUUGAUUCAUGCCUCAGAGAUGGAAAGACUUGCCUAUAAUUUUAUUUUACUCAAGGCCUGGACUUCUCCAAUGACUGUCUUCAAGGCUCUAAGACAAUAAAAUUUAAGCUCUAGAUUCAAGGUUUUAUUUGGUGACUUGAACUAAAGUAGCAACCCGACUCCAUCCUCAUUCUUCAGGGAAUUGGGGCAAAUGCAACUGAAGCCCCAAAGAUACUUUUAGAAGUGAUAGGCUCUUGAAAUCAAUGGGUAUAGAGACUGCUUAGGAAGGCACUAAGUUCUGUCAUACAUCAAUUAGAUGUUAGCUAAUCAUAAUAAAUAUUUAACCUUAGGUAAAAGAUAGGGUUUUAAUUGUUCUUAUUAUAGAUAUCCUUUCUUUGCUAUGCUAAUUAUCCUGAUUAGAUCACUCUAUAAUAUGUGCAUGUAUGGAAACAUUCACGCUAUACCUUAUAAAAAUAAAAGUAUUCCCACUUAAAAUGCAAUUACACAAAAGAGAAGCCAGGCUUGAAGGACAACUGUAAAGCAGCUGUCUUACUCUGGAGAUACCUUUGAGCCUCAGAAGGUAAAAUCACGCCACCAGAUCAUUCAGCCCCCGUGUACCCCCCAGGCUGGUGUCGGCCACCAUCAGUGUACCCUUGGUUUCCAUGGCUGUCACUUACGCCU